rnacentral:lncRNA from 1 species
AUGCUAUUUUCCUUGUAUUUUUGUGGGGAAAGAAAACUCACGUCUGAAGAGUUAUCUUCAAGGAUCUACCCACCAGGGAAGAUGGAAGUGUGGCUAGGGGGAGGGAAAAAGAAAGAGAAAGAAAGCAACAUGUUUUUCGCUCCCACUAAAUAUCAAGUCAUGUGUGGGAGCCAUGUGUGCCCAGCAUCCUUGUGGAAGAUGAGCCGUGACAUGUGGAACUAAAAGCCUGAAUCUGACCCGUCUGGCUGUGAGCUCGCCUUACCCACCCCAUGCGCAAAGGCUCUUGACGACGUCUUCCUGAAACCCUCUCACUGUCCCUGGCUUUCUAGGAUUGUCUAGACUGGUGCUUGAGUGCUGUAUGGCAGUUUCCUGAGUGAAGAAGAUGGGAAAACUAUUCCAGACAGUAUAAACAGUGUAUGAAAAGGACAGUGCGAAAAACACACAGCCAAUCUGUUUUCUUUUAUUUGAAAUGCAGAGAAACACAGGCACAUAGACAGAGGAGAGAGACGAGAUCUCCCAUUCGUGACUUAAGAGCCAGUACUGGACCAGGCCGAAAGUAGGGACUGGCAACUCAUCCAGGUCUCUCACAUGGGUGCUGCAGACUGUUACUUGAGCCAUCACCUGCUGCUUCUCAGAAUCUCCAUUAGCAGGAAGAUAAAGCUGAGCACAGAGUUGGACAGACUCUGGGAGUCACAAAUGGGAUGCAGGUGUCCCAAAUGUUGACCAAGCCAUUGCACCAAAUGCCUUCCCCUGGCAUAGCCACUCUUGAUGUUAGCUGUACUCUUCUCAGUAUGAAGAGCCUAGACUUUGGAGGCUGAAGGUAAAGAUAAGGAUGAGCAAUUUUGUGUUUCACCUUAUUUCCUUGAGAUGGGUGAUUUUCCCUUUGUGAUCACCUUUGUAUUCCAAGCACAGCUAAAGUGGGCAUUCGUGCUUCUGUAUUAUCCCUAAAGCUUAUGCCUUCCUUGGCUUUCAGUCCUUGGUUGUAGAGAGCUAUGAUAUUUUACUUGUAAACAUGAACUCAUCAAAGCAGUUUCUGGGGUUUCAUUCUAUAUUCCUUCCUUACUCCCAAUUUUUGAUUUUAUUUUUAUUUUUGCUUAAUUAUUUUGUCUUUCAAAAUAAUUUUGGGGGAACAGAGGGUAGAGUAGGGGAGUCUAGAGACUGUGCUAUGCCAAAACUUUGGCUAGUUUUUUUUUUUUAUUAUUUUUUUGACAGGCAGAGUGGA